UCUUAGCAAUGAUUUUUUAGUUCGAAUUACUGAGGGACUCGUGAUAACUUUGAAUUAAUGAGAGGUUCGAAAUAACG